GUCCGUAUAGCAGAACAGGAAUAUGCGUCUGACUUAGAAUCAGAAUUUUGUAGGUUCGACUCCUACUGCGGACA
rnacentral:tRNA from 1 species